GGGCCCGCACAAGCGGUGGAGCAUGUGGUUUAAUUCGAUGCAACGCGAAGAACCUUACCAGGGUUUGACAUAGUACGAAGUUUUUUGAAAAAAAACCACCUUCGGGAACGCAGUGACAGGUGGUGCAUGGCUGUCGUCAGCUCGUGUCGUGAGAUGUUGGGUUAAGUCCCGCAACGAGCGCAACCCACGUCUUUAGUUGCCAGCAUUUAGUUGGGCACUCUAGAGAGACUGCCGGUGAUAAACCGGAGGAAGGUGUGGAUGACGUCAAGUCAUCAUGCCCCUUACAUCCUGGGCUACACACGUACUACAAUGCUACGGACAAAGGGCAGCAAGUUCGCGAGGACAAGCAAAUCCCAUAAACCGUGGCUCAGUUCAGAUCGUAGGCUGCAACUCGCCUACGUGAAGGCGGAAUC
rnacentral:rRNA from 1 species